rnacentral:lncRNA from 1 species
GAUAUCGUUCUUCCCAAGAGACUCGAAAGGCCUUAUCGUUCGUGCGGAUGCAAAAACAGAAAUUAAACAUGCAAUGCGUUUGAUUCAGUUGACAAGAAAAAGACUAUGGAUGAAUAAAGUUGUUGGGGGUUGACAAUUUCAUCUUAUCCGCUCCCUCUUAUCUACUCCUCUUGUUUAAUGUGCUUGAUUAUCUAAUUGUUACACAAACUUUCUUGGCCUACCCUUAACCCGAUCACUCGGUGAAAAGAGUCUAUUACUACUUACUUGCUUGUUAUCCCUAGCCUCCC